rnacentral:rRNA from 1 species
CCUACGGGUGGCAGCAGUGAGGAAUAUUGGUCAAUGGACGAGAGUCUGAACCAGCCAAGCAGCGUGAAGGAUGACUGCCCUAUGGGUUGUAAACUUCUUUUAUAUGGGAAUAAAGUGUUCCACGUGUGGGCUUUUGUAUGUACCAUAUGAAUAAGGAUCGGCUAACUCCGUGCCAGCAGCCGCGGUAAUACGGAGGAUCCGAGCGUUAUCCGGAUUUAUUGGGUUUAAAGGGAGCGUAGGUGGAUUGUUAAGUCAGUUGUGAAAGUUUGCGGCUCAACCGUAAAAUUGCAGUUGAAACUGGCAGUCUUGAGUACAGUAGAGGUGGGCGGAAUUCGUGGUGUAGCGGUGAAAUGCUUAGAUAUCACGAAGAACUCCGAUUGCGAAGGCAGCUCACUGGACUGCAACUGACACUGAGGCUCGAAAGUGUGGGUAUCAAACAGGAUUAGAUACCCUAGUAGUC